UGGGGAAUAUUGGGCAAUGGGCGCAAGCCUGACCCAGCAACGCCGCGUGAAGGAAGAAGGCCCUCGGGUUGUAAACUUCUUUUCUAUAGGACGAAGAAGUGACGGUACUAUAGGAAUAAGCCACGGCUAACUACGUGCCAGCAGCCGCGGUAAUACGUAGGUGGCGAGCGUUAUCCGGAUUUACUGGGUGUAAAGGGCGUGUAGGCGGGAGAGCAAGUCAGAUGUGAAAACUACAGGCUUAACCUGUAGCCUGCAUUUGAAACUGUUCUUCUUGAGUGAUGGAGAGGCAGGCGGAAUUCCUAG
rnacentral:rRNA from 1 species